UGCCACAUUUCCGAGUCCAGCUGCACGGCUUGUGCUGGGGAUGAUAGGGUACAACAAAACGCUUUGCCAUUAUCAUUUAUCCUCCAGAGUGUGGGCGUAAAUAAUGUGCCCACAUUUGUGAAACUCAGAGGGAUCUCCAUGGAAACGCUUAAUCGCUGACAUUUAAACUCCUGGUGCUGAUAAGGAAAGCUGCUGCCUCUGACCUAUUGAGAACAGUUUAUCAAGGUGUUGGAGGAGGGUGGAGCUUGUUCAGCCCAGUCUGGGGUGGUGUGCCUCUUCUUGGAUCAGCCCAAAGAUUACAGGCCCAAUCUCUUCUGAAGGUCAGAACUGUUCUUGUUUGCUUUCUGUCAACUGCUAAGAUUCUGAAUUAGACAAAGCAGGACAGAGAUAGAGUAGAUGGGAGUGGAACCCUCUGCCA
rnacentral:lncRNA from 1 species